GGGAGUGCGGCUUCCCCUUGCUUUCUCUGGAAAUUUUGUAUCCUUGCGAGCCCAUGGACCCAGCUUCAGCCCCCGGAGGGGAAAGUACCCUUCCCGUUGUCGGGAAGAUAAUCAUUUUCUGGCUCACCUCAUCACUAACCUCAAAACACCAAGUCAACUGCCCAGGGUCUCAGCAAACCUUCUGUGCAGAUCUCCCUACCACCACCACCACCACGGACGCUGCACCCGAGCUGCUCGUCAAGAGUGUCCAGGGCUGGCAGGCAGCUCAGACGGAGGGGAGCCAGGUACAGAGAGAACCCAAUGAUGAAAAAGGUGCAACCCACACUCAGGAGCCAACUUGGCAUUAUCCUGGCAGCAUCCAGACCUGCUGAGCAGCAAAAUGCCUGUUAUCUCUGUAACAAAAGAAGUUUAACUUCCCCACCCGCCCCCGGACACAAACACAGCUGAUUAAUGCUGGGGAGGAGAGCGCUGUCUGUCCUUGGACCUGGGACCACCCACCAUGUGUCACCCACCUCAGCCACACAUUAAA